rnacentral:rRNA from 1 species
GAUGAACGCUAGCUACAGGCUUAACACAUGCAAGUCGAGGGGAAACGACAUCGAAAGCUUGCUUUUGAUGGGCGUCGACCGGCGCACGGGUGAGUAACGCGUAUCCAACCUGCCCACCACUUGGGGAUAACCUUGCGAAAGUAAGACUAAUACCCAAUGAUAUCCCACGAAGACAUCUGAAUGGGAUUAAAGAUUUAUCGGUGAUGGAUGGGGAUGCGUCUGAUUAGCUUGUUGGCGGGGUAACGGCCCACCAAGGCAACGAUCAGUAGGGGUUCUGAGAGGAAGGUCCCCCACAUUGGAACUGAGACACGGUCCACACUCCUACGGGAGGCAGCAGUGAGGAAUAUUGGUCAAUGGGCGAGAGCCUGAACCAGCCAAGUAGCGUGCAGGAAGACGGCCCUAUGGGUUGUAAACUGCUUUUAUAAGGGAAUAAAGUGGGUCACGUGUGACUUUUUGCAUGUACCUUAUGAAUAAGGACCGGCUAAUUCCGUG